AUACGUAGGGGGCGAGCGUUGUCCGGAAUGAUUGGGCGUAAAGGGCGCGUAGGCGGCCCGGUAAGUCUGGAGUGAAAGUCCUGUUUUUAAGAUGGGAAUUGCUUUGGAUACUGUCGGGCUUGAGUGCAGGAGAGGUAAGUGGAAUUCCCAGUGUAGCGGUGAAAUGCGUAGAGAUUGGGAGGAACACCAGUGGCGAAGGCGACUUACUGGACUGUAACUGACGCUGAGGCGCGAAAGUGUGGGGAGCAAACAGGAUUAGAUACCCUGGUAGUCCACACUGUAAACGAUGAAUGCUAGGUGUAGGGGGUAUCGACCCCUUCUGUGCCGCAGUCAACACAAUAAGCAUUCCGCCUGGGGAGUACGGCCGCAAGGUUGAAACUUAAAGGAAUUAACGGGG
rnacentral:rRNA from 1 species